rnacentral:rRNA from 1 species
CAGCAGCCACGGGAAUACGAAGGGGGCUAGCGUUGUUCGGAAUCACUGGGCGUAAAGCGCACGUAGGCGGAUACUUAAGUCAGGUGUGAAAUCCCGGGGCUCAACCUCGGAACUGCCUUUGAUACUGGGUAUCUUGAGUCCGGGAGAGGUUGGUGGAACUCCGAGUGUAGAGGUGAAAUUCGUAGAUAUUCGGAAGAACACCAGUGGCGAAGGCGGCCAACUGGCCCGGUACUGACGCUGAGGUGCGAAAGCGUGGGGGGCAAACAGGAUUAGAUACCCCCGUAGUCCCUGUCUCUUAUAU